rnacentral:rRNA from 1 species
GACGGAAGGUGCAAGCGUUGCUCGGAAUCAUUGGGCGUAAAGGGUGCGUAGGCGGCUUGGUGGGUCUGGUGUGAAAGCCCCGGGCUUAGCCCGGGAAGGGCGCUAGAAACUGCCGAGCUCGAGUGCCGGAGGGGAGAGUGGAAUUCCUGGUGUAGCGGUGAAAUGCGCAGAUAUCAGGAGGAACACCGGUGGCGAAGGCGGAUCUCUGGGCCGUAACUGACGCUGAGGAGCGAAAGCAUGGGGAGCGAACAGG